rnacentral:rRNA from 1 species
GACGAACGCUGGCGGCGUGCCUAAUACAUGCAAGUCGAACGCUGAAGGAGGAGCUUGCUUCUCUGGAUGAGUUGCGAACGGGUGAGUAACGCGUAGGUAACCUGCCUGGUAGCGGGGGAUAACUAUUGGAAACGAUAGCUAAUACCGCAUAAGAGUAGAUGUUGCAUGACAUUUGCUUAAAAGGUGCAAUUGCAUCACUACCAGAUGGACCUGCGUUGUAUUAGCUAGUUGGUGGGGUAACGGCUCACCAAGGCGACGAUACAUAGCCGACCUGAGAGGGUGAUCGGCCACACUGGGACUGAGACACGGCCCAGACUCCUACGGGAGGCAGCAGUAGGGAAUCUUCGGCAAUGGACGGAAGUCUGACCGAGCAACGCCGCGUGAGGGAAGAAGGGUUUCGGAUCGUAAAGCUCUGUUGUAAGAGAAGAACGAGUGUGAGAGUGGAAAGUUCACACUGUGACGGUAUCUUACCAGAAAGGGACGGCUAACUACGUG